GAGAGAAAGCUGUUCGUUAGCUUAACAUCUGCUACUUUUGAUAACGACAUGUCAUAUUAUUUAUACUUGCAGGAAUUCAACACAUUAGAACCAAGACAAUCUGAAUGUUAAUAUCCAGGAACGUUUCCGAAGCAUCUAUUAGCUGCUGCCAGUGCUUUGGAGUGCAAGGACAAUGUAUUUAUCUCCAGGGGCAACCAGAGAACUUGGAAAUACUGUUUUGAUGGAUAGGGCAAGGAGCAAAACUCAAAGUCUUACUGGAGUAACGGUCUGCCCAGAAAACACUUUGUUUGAAAAGAAGGCUGUUUACAGAUCUUUCCCCUUCGGUAGCUUCGGGAAGCAGACGCAUUUAAAUGAACCUGCAGGGCAGCUCUUCGCAACUGCACUCUGCAGCCCCCGUUCCUGGAGGACUUCUAGACAUGAGAAGAGGUCCCCGGUACAAGAAGAAAUAAUGCAAAGGAGAGAAUCCAUGCUCCCCGAACCCCUACAAUUGCUCAAGGGGGAAGAGGUCUGUGUAUAGCCUCUGAAAGGAAUGCCUUUGUGUUUGUCAUCCACACAGAUGGGGAGAACUCAUCUUUGCUAACAAACUGCCUCUGUAUCACAUCCUCAAACACUCUUUGGGGAUCCUGAACACUCUAAAAAUACUUCUGCAAAAAGUUUUUA